rnacentral:misc_RNA from 1 species
UAAAAGUUAACACAUAAUCAGCCUUAAAUCUUUGAUUAAUUUGAGCAUCUUCUGUCUUGUUAAAAUAGUAAAAACAUCAACAUCUAAACUUACAUUGAGAAAAUCAUCUUUCUUUGAUACAUCUUUGAAAUACCCAAAACAAAGUAUAAACUAACUGAGGUCUAACAUGCUAGUACUUUGCAUCCAGUGGCCUUACAUCUCCAAAG